rnacentral:rRNA from 1 species
AUUCCUGCACCUCGCGUAGUGCGAUGGAGGGACGGAGAAGGUUAGGCCAGCCUGGCGUUGGUUGUCCAGGUUUAAGGUGGUAGGCUGAAAUCUUAGGCAAAUCCGGGAUUUCAAGGCCGAGAGCUGAUGACGAGUUACCUUUUAGGUGACGAAGUGGUUGAUGCCAUGCUUCCAGGAAAAGCCUCUAAGCUUCAGGUAACUAGGAACCGUACCCCAAACCGACACAGGUGGUCAGGUAGAGAAUACCAAGGCGCUUGAGAGAACUCGGGUGAAGGAACUAGGCAAAAUGGCACCGUAACUUCGGGAGAAGGUGCGCCGGUGAGGGUGAAGGACUUGCUCCGUAAGCUCAUGCCGGUCGAAGAUACCAGGCCGCUGCGACUGUUUAUUAAAAACACAGCACUCUGCAAACACGAAAGUGGACGUAUAGGGUGUGACGCCUGCCCGGUGCCGGAAGGUUAAUUGAUGGGGUUAGCGCUUGCGCGAAGCUCUUGAUCGAAGCCCC